CCAAAUUGGCUUUCAUGAAUAACCUAGGUCGUUUUGUCCCCAGCCUCACCUAUUCGCUCCCACGCCGGCCGCCGCCCCUCGCGGCUGUGACCAACCUGCAUCCCGGCGCGCCGCCCCUCUUCACUCCCCUGUGGUCCUCCAUCUCGGUGGCCGCCAGCACCACUCCCCUGCAACACUGCAUCCCGGUGCGCCACCCCUCGUCACCACUCCCCUAUGGUCCUCUCCUCCAUCCCGGCGCGCCGUCAGCACCACUCCCCUGCGACUCUGCAUCUCGGCGCGCCGCCCCUCGUCACCCCUCCCCUGCGACCAUUGGUGAAUCCAAGGAACAAAUGUUUGAGCCCUAGGUACGCAGAAAAGGUGGCGGCCAAAGAGUUUGAUUUGUGUAUACGGUGUUCCUGCAUGAUGGUCUUGACUCUUGAGAGCUGAGAAGAUCCGUUUUGGCUUAAGAAAAUUCUGCUGUUGUUUCUGCACCUGAGUUCAUGGUCACGGUCUCAUGGAGCUUUACGCAGCUCGGUCGACUAGGCCACCGCGACGCUGUGGGAGAAGGACAUCGGUGCAGAGCAUGGCAAAGCUGGGUACUUGUUGGAUCUGAGGACUUCUGAUCCACAGUUCUCCGCAUUAUCAUCCAUCAGCAUCUGGUGACAUUAGCACUCAGCUGCAUAAGGCUUUCUCCCCACUACAGUUGGAGUUCAAGAGCGAAUGGAAGGUAAUCUGGCGAUCAAUCACUGUUGCUUGUCACAAAACUCUGAAAAAUAUUAUUGAGUACAUCUACCACGAGCUAUGCUUGCCAUUUAAAAAGAUGUUUAUGUGAGCUGCAUGUCAUAUCAUUUUUUAUGCAAGCAGAUCUUGCGAUUUACUUAUGAUUUAUGAACAGAAAUUGUUCACUGCGUAACCCCUAAAUACAGUAGAAGGGAAACAAAUCUUGUAAAACUACGCUGAGACAAGUAGUACUUAUUUAGUGAAGUAACAUAUUAGAUAAAAUUCCACACCUAUUACAACUUAUGUGACUUCUGUAUUUUUAAAGAUAACUGAACUAGUUUGUGUUCCAGGAAUACAAAACCAUGGGUGUUUUCAAUUUAUUCACUUGGCUUUUGGAAUUUGAUUGAUGUCCCCUUCUCCUAUUAUUAACUACAUAUACCUACAUGGUUCUAUUUGCUGGUUUGCCAAAUUCUAGACGCUUCUUUUGUGGUUCAUGCUUCCUCUUUAUACUAUGCUUGCCUACAUCCGUAGUCUCACUCCUUUAUUCUCUUGAUGUGCUUUUUCUUUACAAGGAAGAAUACACACCAUGGGGAAAAGAGAAGUAGAUUUGUAGCCUAUGGCCACUUUAUAUAUACUUCCAUGUUUCUGAUUCAUCAGGAGGUCAUGUACUGAUGGAUUGCAAAAAGAAAAAGGAAAAUAAUGUCAAUUGUUUCUAUAUCACUUGAAUAGGCACGGUUCAUCUGUAGUGUCCUUCAAUUAUUAGACCACAUUCAAUAUUAUUUUAUGGAUGCCUGCAACUUCCAAUUAAAUAUAUCACCAUAUAUCUAUCUGAUUUGUAUUUGUAAUCUACAAACAAGACAUCCUAAUUAUUUGUUCGAAGAUACUACAGUCUUGUUUUCUCUGCCGUGUCUUCUCCUUUUCUUAAUAGUGUCACUGCCUUUGAUUUAUCUGCUCAGUUGUGCUAGUUAGAGUUGCUGGUAAAUAUGAACUAAUGGUUGAUCCACCCUGCUGUCCUCGCUGCACUGCAUGCAAAAUCAUUGGGUCGGUACUGGGAGUACCUCAUUUAUGAUGGAUCUUAUGCUUCAAAGCUUCUUUUUAUUGUCUAUUAUGUUUUACUAUACUAAUUUGGUAAACAUACUGCUUCAGUAUCUUCCAGUAGGUGCCUCAGAAUUAUGCAGUUUAUCAUACCAUACUGCUACUCAAAUAAAAAUGUCUAUCUUUGUGUUCUACACUGAAGGUAUCAUAUGAAGUUUAAUUAUUUUAAGCGUUCAUCACCAAAACUACUUUGUUUGUAGUGAAAGGCUUCAUAAAACUUCAGAGACGUUGCACAUCAUGAGACUAACAUAUAGUAGAGGAAAAGAUGCAACCACGACAUGUCUUGGCCUCUCAACCUUUUCUGUUAUAUGUCACGUUUCUAUUAAUUAUUUUGCUUGACAUGAUUCUGCCAAUGGUAACUUUGAUUUUCUCUAACAGGAAGGAACAAAAGUAUUUUUAAUGAGCCUAAAAAACCAUAACAGAGACAUAGCUCUUGCUACAGUUGUAAGUUGUGAUCCUAAAUUUGAACUUGAUGGUGCUGAAAUUACUAAUGAAUUCUGGGUAGUGCAUGUCGAUAUGAAACUUGUGAAAACUGGAGAUUGGGUAAAGAGUCGCAAAAACUGCAACUCCUGGUAAUGCAGAUUUGUUUUUGCAUGUCAACCUUUGUAAGUGACAAAUAUCGUGUCUCUAUCAGUACUUGUGACAUGCAUUGUGUGUUAACAGUUCAUUUUGUUUUUUUUGUUUGUAGAUUCAAAAGAUAAAUGGAUGAUUCUAUGGGUGUGUGUGGCAAGUAUACUACAAUGACGAUGAUGAUGAUGAUGAUGAUGAUGUUCCUGUUCAUGAUGAUGAAGACGGAUGGUUUCAAUUUUAAUUAAGUUGUAGGGAUGAUGUUCCUGUUGGACGAUGUUUGUCGAUUGUGUUUUAGUUAAGUUGUAGGGAUGUUGAUGGAUGCUUUCAAUUUAAGUUUCGUUGUCAAGAAAAUAUUUUGAUUAUAUAUCCAUUUGGAUGAUUUUCCUUGUGUAAUAUUCAUUAUUGUAAUCCAACAAUUUUAUCUAAUAUAUGAU